UACGUAGGGGGGCAAGCGUUGUCCGGAUUUACUGGGCGUAAAGAGCGCGCAGGCGGUCGUUCAAGUCGCGUGUGAAAGCCCCCCGGCUCAACUGGGGAGGGUCACGCGAUACUGAUCGACUCGAAGGCAGGAGAGGGUAGUGGAAUUCCCGGUGUAGUGGUGAAAUGCGUAGAUAUCGGGAGGAACACCAGUGGCGAAGGCGACUACCUGGCCUGUUUCUUGACGCUGAGGCGCGAAAGCUAGGGGAGCAAACGGG
rnacentral:rRNA from 1 species